GUGGGGAAUUUUGGACAAUGGGCGCAAGCCUGAUCCAGCAAUGCCGCGUGCAGGAAGAAGGCCUUCGGGUUGUAAACUGCUUUUGUACGGAACGAAACGGUCCUGGCUAAUAUCCGGGGCUAAUGACGGUACCGUAAGAAUAAGCACCGGCUAACUACGUGCCAGCAGCCGCGGUAAUACGUAGGGUGCGAGCGUUAAUCGGAAUUACUGGGCGUAAAGCGUGCGCAGGCGGUGCUGUAAGACAGGCGUGAAAUCCCCGGGCUCAACCUGGGAAUUGCGAUUGGGACUGCAAGGCUGGAGUGCGGCAGAGGGGGAUGGAAUUCCGCGUGUAGCAGUGAAAUGCGUAGAUAUGCGGAGGAACACCGAUGGCGAAGGCAAUCCCCUGGGCCUGCACUGACGCUCAUGCACGAAAGCGUGGGGAGCAAACAGGAUUAGAUACCCUAGUAGUCC
rnacentral:rRNA from 1 species